AACAGAGGGGGCAAGCGUUGCUCGGAAUUACUGGGCGUAAAGGGCGCGUAGGCGGAAUGGCAAGUCGGUCGUGAAAUCCUUCGGCUCAACCGAAGAACGUCGAUCGAAACUGCCGUUCUUGAGGAUUGCAGAGGAGACUGGAAUUCCCGGUGUAGCGGUGAAAUGUGCAGAGAUAGGGAGGAACACCGGUGGCGAAGGCGGGUCUCUGGGCAAUUCCUGACGCUGAGGCGCGAAAGCGUGGGGAGCAAACGGG
rnacentral:rRNA from 1 species